rnacentral:rRNA from 1 species
ACGGGAGGCAGCAGUGGGGAAUAUUGCACAAUGGGGGAAACCCUGAUGCAGCGACGCCGCGUGAAGGAUGAAGUAUUUCGGUAUGUAAACUUCUAUCAGCAGGGAAGAAAGUGAUGGUACCUGACUAAGAAGCCCCGGCUAACUACGUGCCAGCAGCCGCGGUAAUACGUAGGGGGCAAGCGUUAUCCGGAUUUACUGGGUGUAAAGGGAGCGUAGACGGGAUAGCAAGUCUGAAGUGAAAGCCCGGGGCUCAACCCCGGGACUGCUUUGGAAACUGUUGACCUGGAGUGCUGGAGAGGCAAGUGGAAUUCCUAGUGUAGCGGUGAAAUGCGUAGAUAUUAGGAGGAACACCAGUGGCGAAGGCGGCUUGCUGGACAGUGACUGACGUUGAGGCUCGAAAGCGUGGGGAGCAAACAGGAUUAGAUACCCUGGUA